rnacentral:rRNA from 1 species
UACGUAGGGUGCAAGCGUUGUCCGGAAUUAUUGGGCGGUAAAGAGCUCGUAGGCGGUUUGUCGCGUCUGGCUGUGAAAACGCGAGGCUCAACCUCGCGCCUGCAGUGGGUACGGGCAGACUAGAGUGCGGUAGGGGAGAUUGGAAUUCCUGGUGUAGCGGUGGAAUGCGCAGAUAUCAGGAGGAACACCGAUGGCGAAGGCAGAUCUCUGGGCCGUUACUGACGCUGAGGAGCGAAAGGCGUGGGGAGCGAACAGG